AUCAUAUGCUAUUUUUAGCAUGGGAAGUUGGGGACCUUCAAGUAUAAAUGAGCAUCAAGCAUCAUGAAUCAUCAUCAAUUUUUCAAAGAAAAAGCUUAGAGUGUCAUUUUUUCCUUAUGGCUUGCUAAGAAUUUGCAUGCCACAAAAUAAGGCAAAACUAUUGCCGAGAAUGAGAGCAUUUAGGUGAUUUGACAUGAAAAAGAGGAGGAGAGCCACUAUGUGAAGCCGCAAUGAGCAGUCGCAGAUAACCCCUUGCAAUCCAACUGUUUUCUCUUCUUAUUGUAUUGUGCAGAUUUUUACUAGCCCGAAGUCACCAACAUCCAAGGCCAAUAUCUAAACUCAGCUCAGAUCAAUUUUAUACUCCUUUCAUAUAUAAAUUAAUAAUUAAAGGCAUGUACCUAGAUUGAGUCUUAUGGUUGGAGAUGUGUUUGAUUUAUUUUGGUAAUUUUUGGACUUAUAAUGUUUUAAGAGAUGAAUUUCAAUG